rnacentral:rRNA from 1 species
ACCCUGAGGAAAAGAAAGAAAAUCGAUUCCCUUAGUAGCGGCGAGCGGACGGGGAAGAGCCUAAACCAUAUUUGUGUAAGCUUACAGGCGUUGCAAGUAUGGGGUUGUAGGACUGACUAGAGUGGGCUGUGGACCAUUCAAGAAGUUACAAAGGUAAUAUAUAGUUGAACCCUUUGGAAAGAGGGGCCAAAGAAAGUGAAAGCCUUGUAAAUAAAAUGUAUUACUCUUCUUGUCAGCACCUGAGUAUCGCGGGACACGAGAAAUCUUGCGAGAAUCUGGGAGGACCAUCUCCCAAGGCUAAAUACUAACUGAUGACCGAUAGUGAACAAGUACCGUGAGGGAAAGGUGAAAAGUACUCCUGACGGAGAGUGAAAUAGUACCUGAAAUCGUGCGCCUACAAGCAAUGGGAGGGCUAUGGCCUUUAUGGCAAUGCCUGACCGUGUGCCUUUUGCAUAAUGAACCUGCGAGUUACUUUAUGUGGCAAGGUUAAGUCGAAGAAGAUGUAGCCGAAGCGAAAGCGAGUCUUAAUAGGGCGUUGAGUCAUAUGGAGUAGAACCGAAACCAAGUGAUCUAUCCAUGGCCAGGUUGAAGCAGGUGUAACAACCUGUGGAGGACCGAACCUUCAUACGUUGAAAAGUAUUUGGAUGAGCUGUGGAUAGGGGUGAAAGGCUAAUCAAACUUGGUGAUAGCUGGUUCUCUUCGAAAUAGCUUUAGGGCUAGCCUCAGGUUGUAUGUGUAGUGGUGGUAAAGCACUGAAUGGGCUAGGGGCCUCACCAGGUUACCGAACUCAAUCAAACUAAGAAUGCUACUACAUGAACCCUGGGAGUCAGACUGCGGGGGAGAAGCUUCGUAGUCGAAAGGGAAAGAGCCCAGACCGUCAGCUAAGGUCCCUAAUAGUAUACUAAGUGGGAAAGGAUGUGGAGAUACUCAGACAGCCAGGACGUUGGCUUAGAAGCAGCAAUCGUUUAAAGAGUGCGUAAUAGCUCACUGGUCGAGUCUUUCUGCGCCGAAAAUGUAACGGGGCUAAGUAUACAACCGAAGCUACGGAUUGACAAUUUAUUGUCAGUGGUAGGAGAGCGUUCUCUGCGGGCUGAAGCCAUAUCGGAAGAAGUGGUGGACUGCAGAGAAGUGAGAAUGCAGGUAUGAGUAACGAUAAACAAUGUGAGAAACAUUGUCGCCGAAAGUCCAAGGUUUCCUGGGGAAGGUUAAUCCCCCCAGGGUAAGUCGGCCCCUAAGCCGAGGCUGAGAAGCGUAGGCGAUGGGAAGCAGGGUGGAAGAUUCCUGCACCACUACAACUUCGUUUGUACGACGGGGUGACGUGGAAGGAUAAGUGUAGCGCACAGUUGGUGUUGCGUACAAGCGUGUAGGAGAGAUCUUAGGCAAAUCCGGGAUCUAUAAACUCCAAGGCGUGAUGUGGAGCUCAAUUAAGAGCGAAGGAGCUGACUCCAUGCCACCGAGAAAAACCUCUAAGGAGAGGUUGUGGUGACCGUACCCCAAACCGACACAGGUGGACGGGAUGAGAAUUCUAAGGCGCUCGAGAGAACUCUUGCUAAGGAACUCGGCAAAAUGACCCCGUAACUUCGGGAGAAGGGGUGCCUUUUUUGGUGAUAGGAUUUACUCCUGGAGCUGAAGGAGGCCGCAGUGACUUGGCCCAAGCGACUGUUUAUUAAAAACAUAGGACUCUGCUAAAUCGAAAGAUGACGUAUAGGGUCUGACGCCUGCCCGGUGCCGGAAGGUUAACAGGAGAUGUUAGGAUUCGUCCGAAGCAUUGAAUCGAAGCCCCGGUAAACGGCGGCCGUAACUAUAACGGUCCUAAGGUAGCGAAAUUCCUUGUCGGGUAAGUU